GGGAUGUGUUUAACUUUCCAUUUGUACUGCCCCUAUUGUUGAUUAAGGCUUAUCUACUGUUUGGUGUAAGUCAUUUAGAAAGAAAAAAAAAAAAAAGUUAUGGAACACAUAGCACCACGUUCCAGGCAAAUGCUUUAGCGAAGGCUGCUGUUAUGAAAAGGAUUUUCAAAUAAGGGGAAUAAUGAUCUUCAGAUUCUGACCUCCUGGCACAGCAGUGAGAUUUAUCAGGAGGGGCAUGUGACUAGUUAAGACACACAGCCCCAGCUUGAAGGAAACAGCUGCUCAUUUCGUGCUUUAGCACUUGGCAGCUGGACAAGGAAGGGUGAUGUUUGUGUUGAAUACCUCUGCAGAACCAAGUACAGGGAAACUCAUUGAAAAUACCGAGAUGUAAGGAACUGCUCGAGUAUUUCUGCUCAUGGAACUUGGCAAAGAAAGAUGCUGGAUUUCUCCUGACCUCCAGGCUGUGUUUUUAUUCUACCAGCUUUUUGCAUGCCUGCUUGCCUGUGAGCUCUGAGUCAUCGGCAACUUCUGCAGAUGUAAAACCACAGCACUGUGCAAGGCAAGCAUCCCUGAUUCAUGUGAGUGUGCAGUAGUUGGCAAUUUUCACGAGUUCCUAGGAUGGAGCAGCAACUCCUUCUGCUGUCAUGUGUGUCUGUUGCUGUCUUCUAGUGUAAUAUUUUAAUUUGCAUUCUCUCUUUAAAAAGCAAUUGCUCUCAAUUGAAUGGGGUGCUGCCACCAGGGAGUAAGAAGGGUUACUGAUCAUUAGCAACUGGUCCAGUCUUCUCGCCUUGUCUGGGACCUAUUAUCACAUCUGUGGAGAGAUAGCAGUUACAUGUGAACUGUUUUCUACAUUCAUCAAAGGGAAAACAAAAGAUCAUUCCAGUAGAAAUACACCAUAACAGCCAAAUGAGGGAAAGUGGCCAAAGUCCUCUCCUGCCCCUCUGUCCUUUUAACUCUGUCUUGCUCCAUCCCAGACAUCCAGCUUCCCAUUACCUAAGUCUCUGAAAGCCUCUUCCUGCCUUUAUUGUUUUGCCUGUUUGCCAGUUGCCUUCUAUUUACUACACUGAUAAGUACUUCCCAGGCCAUAAACAUGUGGUCGAGAUAUUUCUGAAGUUACCCCAUGUUUUGAUUGAUCUCACACUGGCAUGGGUACAGGUUGUGAAUUCAUGGGGAGAGAUGUAAGGUAUGGGAUAAUGGGGCUGAAGAGGAAAACAAACAUGCGCUUAACCAUCCCUCUUCACAAGGCAUUGCCCUUGCUUUUUGUAAAGUAACCGGUUGUUCUUCAGCUGGGGAAAUGCCAGAAACCAGAAAGCGUGAGAAAUUAGAUACAGUCCUUCAUGCUGGAAAUGAUGGCAGAUAGGUGGUAGGUGGUGAAGUCUCUCUUUGUUGGUAUCUGUGACUAUGGGUAUCUUUUCCUGAUACAACAUAGCUGCAGAGGUGGAGGAGGGAAGGGGCGAUAUGUUUUAACAUCUCGCUUUCUGGGACACUUAGCAAUAAUGUCCACGUUUUGCAUGACCAGCACAAUUCUGAGGAGUUUUAAGUGCUUGAGAAACUCCAUACAUGGCUGUAAU
ensembl:lncRNA